UCCUCAAGAUCUAAAGAAUGCCUGUAGGUACUGGCUGUUAUUGUUAUCAAAACACCUCUCUGGGUUAGCUCUAGACCACUAUUUCUGCAGAUGUCACUCUACCUGAGAUAUAUUGUUAAAUGUUUGACUGACAGACGGCUAACAAUUUGGGGGUGUUAACUUAAAGUUGGGUCUUAAAGGCAUUACAACAAUGAUGCAUGUUGACAGAAAUACGUUUUGUUCAAAAUUCAUAGUGUAAAUUACUAAAAUGUGUGAAUAGCAAUGGUUGUGGUACUAAAACUUAUUUACAUUAAUCUGAAAGAAUCCAUAUGGAUUGGAGUGGACAGCCAGGCUAAUGAUGGUGUAUGGCGCUCAGUAACCACUGGAGAAAAGGCACCGUACAUCAAUUGGUCAACAGGUAACCCCGACAACGCCGAAGCAAAGCAGCAUUGUGGAUCUUUGAACUGGCCUGGUAAGGGGGACUGGGACGACAACAACUGCUCGAAAAAAUUUCCCUUCAUCUGCGAAGUAGUAGGUUAUAGAGAUGACCCGCAGUCAUGCAGCAAUAUUUGUGCAAAAUAAAAAUCUUCAUUGCAAU